rnacentral:misc_RNA from 1 species
UUAACUAUUAUAUAGUACUCAGACGACACUGUAAACAAGAGUUUAGGGUCCUCUGGCGGCUGCCGAAGCGUCCGCCAAAGCAACAAUGUAUGUUAUUCAAGGGUGGGAGAUCUACCCGUAAGGGCAUGAACUCUGUAAUGAUCCUUCCGCUGGUUCACCAACGGAAA